rnacentral:rRNA from 1 species
UUAAAUUGAAGAGUUUGAUCAUGGCUCAGAUUGAACGCUGGCGGCAGGCCUAACACAUGCAAGUCGAACGGUAACAGGAAGCAGCUUGCUGCUUCGCUGACGAGUGGCGGACGGGUGAGUAAUGUCUGGGAAACUGCCUGAUGGAGGGGGAUAACUACUGGAAACGGUGGCUAAUACCGCAUAACGUCGC